GGAACCGUAGCUCAGCUGGUAGAGCGCUUCGUUUACACCGAAGAAGUCAGAGGUUCGAGUCCUCUCGGUUCCA
rnacentral:tRNA from 1 species